ACAACUUAUAACAGAACCUUUAUUUUGCCUCACAGUCUCAGAGGUUUUGGUCUAUGAAUGGGUGGCCUGGUGUCUUUUAGGCCUGUGGUGGCACAGUGAAUAGGUGCAGGAGCACAUAUUAGAGAAGGCUGCUUACCUUAUGACAGCUGGGAAGUAAAAGGAGAGGACUGGAGUCCCUAAAGCUCCCUUAAAGGCCACACCCUCAAGGACCUCACUUCCUCCCAUUAGGCCCUGCCUCCUGAAGAUUCCACCAUUUCCCAAUAACUCUAUAGAAUGAAAAAGUUUCAGCCUAUAGGGCUUUGGGAUGCAUUUAAGAUCCAAACCAUAACAAAGUCACAUUCAGAGAGCAAGUAAGAAUGAAGGUGAAGGUUACCCUAAAAGAGACCCGGCUCCUGGUGAUAUAUGUACUCACCCCAUUGCAAGCCCACAAAGUGACGGAUCAGUAGGUUUGCAAAUCUCCAGCGGUCUGCUGUUUCCAUUAGACAGUGUUGCAAGAUUAAACACAGG